rnacentral:lncRNA from 1 species
UCAACUUAUGUACCCUGAUUCGCCGUCCAGCAUUUACUUGCUGUUCAUGCAUUUGAGUCUUCCCCUGUCUCAUCGCUGCAUUAUUCUCUUUUAUGGCUGUGCUUGGUCCUCCAUGUGCAAAUUCGGUUACACCUCUAUCUCGGGAUCCACCUUUCCUUUGAUUCCACCUUCGAUAACUUUUGAGGAGCGCUUGUGCUGAGUCAAUAAUAGCCGACACUUCUGGUUUUCUACCCCGAAAAACUGCCUGAUUUCUGGCCUUCCACAUAUUCCACAAUGUUACAGCUACCAUAUUCAGGUUUGGAAGGUUCAUUGUCUUCUGUUUGAGUUGACAAAACCAUUCUUCUAUCCUUGUCAAACCCUGACGUGAAAUUUUAAUGUGCAGCUCUUUGUGCCAAAUCUGUGUUGUCCAUGGACACAACAAAAAUAGAUGUUCAACCGUUUCCCUCUCAAGAUUACAUAAUGGGCAGAUGGGGUCAGGUAAUAUUUUCCUUCCAAACAGAUUAUCUUUUGUGGGGAGAGCAUUAUUACAUAAAUUCCACAUAAAUAUUUUUAUCUUGGGCGGGGUGUGCAAAUUCCAUAUGUCUUUCCAAAGUGAGGGGGGAGGUUGGAAAGAAGUUGUUGGUUGAUUCUCCUGAACUUGUGCUUUAGCCUCCUUGAUGUAGUUAUAUGCACUCUUCACUGUAUAUUUACCUGUCUGCGUGCCAGUCCAUACAAUUUGAUCCGUUUCUGUUUGUGGCUUGAUGGGGAUAGUCAUAAUUUCUUCAGCUAAUUUUUCAUCAAAGUGUGCUGCUAUUUUUAGUUUAUCCCAUCUCCCUUGCGCUUUGUUUAUAAUUU